rnacentral:rRNA from 1 species
AACGUAGGAGACAAACGUUAUCCGGAGUUACUGGGCGUAAAGGGCGUGUAGGCGGUUUGUUAAGUCUGGCGUGAAAAGCUCUCGGCUAAACCGGGAGAGGUCGUUGGAUACUGGCAAACUAGAGGACGGUAGAGGCGUGUGGAAUUCCGGGUGUAGUGGUGAAAUGCGUAGAGAUCCGGAGGAACACCAGUGGCGAAGGCGACAC